AAACUCUUUAGAAACAUAAAAAGCUGUCAGUUGUGAAGCUGAACCGACACAAAUACGGGGUACGCUUCCAAUCACACCUCGCCACAGCCCGGUUAUUCCGCCUUCCCUAUAAACGCUGUUUAAAAUUCCAAAUGUAUUCUUGGCUUCAUGCUGAUAUCCUACUGCUAUGCUCUUAUUUGCUUGUGAUUGGAGUCUGAUUUUUGCCUAAAAAGUACCUACUCAUAUUGAAAUCUGGUUUUGACAACCUCCAAAGGAUUUGUGAAUAUAACAGCACCGACAGCAGACGAGGCUCCAAUUAUAAAUUCCAUGUUGUAUAGAUAAAAGUUUAUUUAUUCUACAAAUUUAUGUGAAUAGGAAAAAGUCAAGACCUUUUUUUAAAAAGCACUGGAAACGAAAAGUAAAACACAAUAGAAAUAUAAUUAUGUGCAGGUGUUUUUGAAAAAAAAAGUCCAUUUGUAUAUUGGGUUGGAAUGCAAGGCCGCUGGAUUCGAACCCAGGACUUUUACUUACAGUGAUGACAGGGCUCUGUGUCAACACCUAAACCACUAUGGCCAUCGACGCCCCCUCCAUUAUUUAAAAUGUUUAAUAUUUUACACAAUAUUUAAACAUUUUAAAAAAUGGAUAUCCAUAACUCCUACUUGUUUGGAUCUCCACUCAAAUUUGAUUGCAAUGAUGUUUAACAAAUAUAACAACAAAAUAGAACAAUUUAACCCUUGAUCCCAUUCUCUUUCAUUAAGUGUUACAUAUUAAUCCAUAUGUUUAGUUAUCAUAAUAAUUAAUCUCAUUAAUCAUUAAUUUCAUAUAUUAUAAUCUUUAGUAGUCUUGACUGUAUUAAUUAUUUUAAUUAAUUUUACUUUUUAUCUAUGGUCUUGGUUUUGAUGAAAAAGUUAGUGUCCUCGACCUUUGGCUCAUGACAACUUUUCAUCACAACCAACAACUUAGAUACAAAGUAUAAUAAUUAAGUGUUACAUUUAGUUUGGACAUUGAGCAGUACAUUAUUUAUUAGUUUUAAAAAAUGACAAGAAUAAGAGUAAGAUAAAAAGAAAUUUAUCACAUAUAAAAAGAAAAAGAAGGACAAUAACAAAGAAAAUACGAAUUUAAAAAAAAAAUUAAUGAUAAAACGUCAGAAAUUUAGGGUAGGUAGAAAAUUUACAAGCAUUUUUACACUUUUUGGCCUAAAAGGCAUUACCAAUUUCACAAUAGGUGUAGCCAAUUUUAGAUAGUUUCGCAUUAUUUUAAAAUUGGUUAAAACUGUAGUGGAACAACGUUUCCAAAUGCAAUUGUCCUGUUUGACAGAAAGGAGGAUCAAAUAUCGUUCUGAUCUGUCUGUCCUCGCUGCUUUGGCUUUUAGGAAAGGGUUUUUACUUAAAAAGUAUAUCCAAGGUACCCAUUAUUUCUGUUUGUCAUAAUUUAUCUUAUAUGCACCACUCUACAACGCUACCUAUCCAAUAGGCAGAAACAUUGGACCUCCUAAAUAGCCAAUUUAAAUAUUUAGUGAGAAUAGCCAGAUUAUGACGAACGGAAAUGAACAAACUAAUUUAUUGUCCUCUAGACUACAAGAAAAAAUCCCACAAUUUAAUAUGAAUAGAAUGAUCAUCACUGUCACAAAAACACCACUAAAUUUGGCAAAAUGUUAAGCCACGAUUGACAGACCAAAAAAGUCAGACCAUGAUUAUCAGCAGUGACCAAACUGUAGGUUUAACUCUCUGUGGACUACAAGAAGAAAUCUCACGACUUAAUGAUAGCAUGAUCAUCUCUGAUUAAAAUAUAAUAUUGAAGAUAGCAAAAUGCUGAACUGCUUAUGACAGGCUAAAAUAGUGAGGAUAGUCAGAUUAUUAUGAUCAGAAAUGACCAAACUAUAGGUUUAACUCUUUUUGGACUACAAGAAGGAAUCUCACGACUUAAUGAUAGCAUGAUCAUCUCUCAUUAAAAUAUAAUACUGAAGAUAGGAAAAUGCUGAACUGCUUAAAACAGGAUAAAAUAGUGAGGAUAGUCAGAUUAUUAUGAUCAGAAAUGACCAAACUAUAGGUUUAACUCUUUUUGGACUACAAGAAGGAAUCUCACGACUUAAUGAUAGCAUGAUCAUCUCUGAUUAAAGUAUAAUAUUGAAGAUAGCAAAAUGCUGAACUGCUUAUGACAGGCUAAAAUAGUGAGAAUAGUCAGAUUAUUAUGAUCAGAAAUGACCAAACUAUAGGUUUAACUCUUUUUGGACUACAAGAAGGAAUCUCAUGACUUAAUGAUAGCAUGAUCAUCUCUCAUUAAAAUAUAAUACUGAAGAUAGGAAAAUGCUGAACUGCUUAAAACAGGCUAAAAUAGUGAGGAUAGUCAGAUUAUUAUGAUCAGAAAUGACCAAACUAUAGGUUUAACUCUUUUUGGACUACAAGAAGGAAUCUCACAACUUAAUGAUAGCAUGAUCAUCUCUCAUUAAAAUAUAAUACUGAAUAUAAGAAAAUGCUGAACUGCUUAUGACAGGUUAAAAUAGUAAAGACAGUCAGAUAGUUAUGAUCAGAAAUGACCAAACUACUAGUUUAUCGCCUUGAAAACAAGAAGCAAUACCACAAUUUAUUACUAAUAGCCUGAUCAUCUCUAUUCAAAUACACAACUAAAGCUGGUAAAAAAAUGCAUCUGACAGACCAAACAGUGAAGACAACCGGAUCGUGAUUAUUGGAAAUGAACAAAUUAGUUUAUAGUCCUACAAGAAAAAAUCCCACAAUUUAAUAGGAAUAGAAUGAUCAUCACUGAUAGAAAAACACCACUAAAGAUAGCAAAAUGUUAAGCCACGUCUGAUGGACCAAAAUAUUGAAGAUAGAACAUGAUGAUUGGAAAUGACCAAACUACAGGUUUAACGCUCCAUAGACUACAAAAAGAAAACAAAAGAAUAAUUAGAAAGUCAAAAUAUUAACUUCUCAAUUCUUUUCUGACGCUAGUUCCUCUUAUUGAACAAAAUCUAGAAAUAUGAGUCAGAACUCUACAAUUUAGCAUUUUAAAUUACAACUUUUGACAUUUUGUGUUUAUUUAUUUUGAUUAUUCUUUGCAUAAAAAGCAAAGUGUAAUUCAGAUGUAGAGUUGAUGAUGGGUUUUGGCCUGCAAGUCAGUGAACUUAUAUUGAUGAGUUCAUCGACUCGCAGACCGAAACCCAAAGUUCAAAAAUCCCAUGAGUGGAGGCAGACCCAGUAAGUUACCCUGUGCUGGUUCAACAUAAUACAGAUACGUUAUGUGUUUUGAAUAGAAUCUAUGCUAAAAUCCUCAUCCUGUACUCGUAUGUUAAAUGUAAGCAUAUGUACUUCCUUUCUUGCUAGAAGUUUGUUUUUUUCUUUUUUUAAAUUUGAUGUGUUUCUUUCUCCAUUUUUCCAAAUUACAAAAAUCAAUGUGUGAAGUUUUUAUUUCAACUGGGGUACAACUUAAAUUCCAUUGAGUAUGAGAUGUGAUUUUGUUUGACUAUUUAAAAGAACAAGGCGUGAGGGGUGACAAACGUUGUUUUUAUU